rnacentral:lncRNA from 1 species
CUUCUCUAAACUCUUUGCCUCUUUGCAACUAUUCACAUUCACAAUGAUCCAAAAAUACUCUCUCAAAGAAACUAAUCAAACCCAUAUCUAAAAGUUAUUCACAACCUCCAUCACCAUCCCUCGUCUUCGGUUAGCCUUAGGCCGCCACCAAUGAUGACAACAUCAGAUUUUUAACUUCGCACUUUGAAACCCACAUUCUCGCCGUCCACCACCACUGCCCAUUCUUCCAUCAUUGAUGAUGGAAGAUCCGACUCCACCUAACUUAGAUUUGACAAAGAAAGAAGGACGAGGAGACGAUGUGUGUGAGAAGAGACGAUGCGGGGAGACGAUGUGUGACCAGUUAAAGUUCCACCACCACCGUUGUUUUAGAUCUGACUAUGUGUGUGAGAACUUUUCAAUGUUGAUGGUAGGGGCAACAAAUGGAAGAGACGAUGUGAGGCGCUUGGCGAGGAGAAGGACG